rnacentral:rRNA from 1 species
AACGAACGCUGGCGGCGCGCCUAAUACAUGCAAGUCGAGCGAGAAGACGUAGCAAUACGUUUGUAAAGCGGCGAACGGGUGAGGAAUACAUGGGUAACCUACCCUCGAGUGGGGAAGUAACUAGCCGAAAGGUUAGCUAAUACCGCGUACGCUCCUUGGACUUCGGUUCAGGGAGGGAAAGCGAUACCGCGGGUAUCGCGCUCCUGGAUGGGCUCAUGUCCUAUCAGCUUGUUGGUGAGGUAACGGCUCACCAAGGCUUCGACGGGUAGCUGGUCUGAGAGGACGAUCAGCCACACUGGCACUGCGACACGGGCCAGACUCCUACGGGAGGCAGCAGUAAGGAAUAUUGCGCAAUGGGCGAAAGCCUGACGCAGCGACGCCGCGUGGGGGGAGUGAA